UGGAUGGCUACCACGGUGAACACAACGCAGAAGCGGAUGCUCACGUCGCGCUCGAUUCGGAUGACAACGACACCGCCAAAACGUUCGGCUCGAUGUGGUAACAACGAUUGGUCGUUAUAGAAUGGGUUACAGGAUUUUCGGUCAAGUUUAAUUUUCAAAACGAGCGUAUUCUUUGUGCACUGGACGUGUAGGUAUGUAUGUAAUUUCCAAAUUUAAUUUGCUCGCGUUGAAAACUGUGUUACGGAGUUGACUCGAGCCCUUCUUCCCCGAGACCGAACAUAUAUUGACCAUACGAAUGUACG